CAACCCUUAAGCUUAGCUUAGUGUUGGGAAUCUACCGUGAGCGGUGUUAUUCGGUGCUACCCUAUAUUAAAGGUAGUCAUCUUAUAAUUACCCUGUAGUUCCUCAAAUCCAACGGCGGAGUCGUAAUCAUCUCUGAGCGCAGUAAUUUUUAUCACGCUUCUGAAGGUGUUAUAACUUUAGCCGUUAAACCUCCAAAAAUUAAU
rnacentral:misc_RNA from 1 species